rnacentral:rRNA from 1 species
GGUGGCUGCGAUGGCGUGUCGUCAGCUCGUGUCGUGAGAUGUUGGUUAGUCCGUACGAGCGCAACCUUGUCCUUAGUUACCAGCACGUUAUGGUGGGCACUCUAAGGAGACUGCCGGUGACAAACCGGAGGAAGGUGGGGAUGACGUCAAGUCAUCAUGGCCCUUACGGCCUGGGCUACACACGUGCUACAAUGGUCGGUACAAAGGGUUGCCAAGCCGCGAGGUGGAGCUAAUCCCAUAAAACCGAUCGUAGUCCGGAUCGCAGUCUGCAACUCGACUGCGUGAAGUCGGAAUCGCUAGUAAUCGUGAAUCAGAAUGUCACGGUGAAUACGUUCCCGGGCCUU